AUUCAAUGUGUUUCAAAAAAUCACAUUGUGAUGCUUCUGAAAAACUCCACCGUACACUAGUGGAAGAAUAAGAGUGGAAAAGGUAAAUAAUGUCUUGUACUAUUAUGAAGAUCCUUUGAACCUCAUGGAACCCAUAUAAGGCUCUCAGAGAACUCCAGGGUCCCAGAACUACGCUUUCAGAACUGCUGGCCUCAUACAAAGCACUCAAUGGCUGUUAGCCAUUUUUAUUCAUAGAUUCUAUUCCCCUAUGGGUUAUUGUGAGGGUCAAAUGAGAGAAUGUAUUUUUUAAAAGACUUCGAAAUCAUGAAGAGCUUACAGCAUGAAAAAAACUUCAAUCCGAGAAGUUGGUGUCUAUUCUUGGGGACGUAUUUUCUUUCACCAACUGAAAUUUAAACUGAAAUGAAUUUAUCAGAGCCCUGCUUUGCUAUUUAAUGACCUAGAACUGAAUUAGUCCUCAGAAAUGCUUAUAGAAAGAAAGAACGAAGAAAGGGAGGGAGACGGGGAGGCUGCCUGACUUCCAAGAUUUCUUACAGGCUUCGGGAUAUGCUGAUGGAGACAUUACUUUAGCUCCUCAUCCUAAGACUGGCAAGCUCUGGGAGCCCUGGUAAGUAUCCCCACGUGUGCAAUCACCAAGGCAAUAUAUAGUGCCCGCCAGCAACAUAUAGUGCCCACCAAACAUACAGUGAGGAGAAAGAGAAGGAAUAGUCAAGAUUUUCAGCUUGAAAGCUGCUCUGGGUUUCAUGACAAUAGGAAAAGUGUAUUAGUCGUGACCACUUCAGAACUUAGCUCAAACAGGCUGAAGGCAAAAGAAAAAGUAUUGAUUCACAAAAAGUCUAGGGCUCACUGAAGAGAAAGGUUUCCAUCUCUCUCUUCUUCUUCUUUUCCUCCUCCUCCUCCUCUGUCUCCUCUUCCUCCUCCACUUUCUUCUUCCUCCUCCAUCACUCAUACUCUCCUUCCAUCCUUCCUUGCCGCUCUGCUUUUGCUUCUGUCUCAGAAGCUCCCGGAGACAGUUCUUAACU
rnacentral:lncRNA from 1 species